GUCCGCGUAGCUAAGUGGUAUAGCGUGAGAUUGCAAGUCUGCAAUAUCUUAAGGUCCCGUGUUCGAUCCACGGCGCGGACU